rnacentral:RNase_P_RNA from 1 species
UGAGUCAGUCAGGCGGCCGCGUCGGACCUUCGGGUCCGCCGAGGAACGUCCGGGCUCCGUAGGGCAGGGUGGUGGGUAACGCCCACCCGGGGUGACCCGCGGGACAGUGCCACAGAGAACAGACCGCCGUCGUGGUUCGCCACGGCGGUAAGGGUGAAACGGUGGUGUAAGAGACCACCAGCGUGCCGGGUGACCGGUGCGGCUAGGUAAACCCCACCCGGAGCAAGGCCAGACAGGGAGCGUUCGAGGGCUGCCCGCCCGAGCUCCCGGGUAGGCCGCUGGAGGCGUGCGGCAACGUACGUCGUAGAUGGAUGGCCGUCACCCGUGCGGGGGCAACCGCGCACGGGGACAGAACCCGGCGUACCGACUGACUCAUCCG